rnacentral:rRNA from 1 species
CCUACGGGAGGCAGCAGUGAGGAAUAUUGGUCAAUGGACGAGAGUCUGAACCAGCCAAGUAGCGUGAAGGAUGACUGCCCUAUGGGUUGUAAACUUCUUUUGUACGAGAGUAAACGCAGAUACGCGUAUCUGUCUGAAAGUAUCGUACGAAUAAGGAUCGGCUAACUCCGUGCCAGCAGCCGCGGUAAUACGGAGGAUUCAAGCGUUAUCCGGAUUUAUUGGGUUUAAAGGGUGCGUAGGCGGUCGGAUAAGUCAGUUGUGAAAUCCUGAGGCUCAACUGUGGAAUUGCCUCUGAUACUGUCAGGCUAGAGAGUAGUUGAGGUAGGCGGAAUGUAUGGUGUAGCGGUGAAAUGCUUAGAGAUCAUAAAGAACACCGAUUGCGAAGGCAGCUUACCAAGCUACUUCUGACGUUGAGGCACGAAAGUGUGGGGAGCAAACAGGAUUAGAUACCCUUGUAGUC